AUGGCAGGCCUUACUGGUAAUCGAUUACCCAAAGGCUUUAAGCUGGAGAUACAAAAUGGUGGCAGCAUUUCCCAGGGCUACCCAGCUCCAGUGGGAGGCAGGGAAAUUGGUACUAGCGACGUGGCUCUGGUUCCCUACCAGAAAAGUUGUGCUCUUGUUGCCAAAUUAGCCCCCUUGGAAGAUUUAAAGAUCUACGCUGUCGCCGCUGUCACUGAGGCCGAUUACAAAGCCGCUAACUCAAAACAUGAGCAGUUCUGGAGGUACUCGGAGAAGUCAGGGGUGCUAGACACGCUGACCAAGGUGUUGAUAGCCUUAUAUGAAGAACCAAAGAAACCGAACAGUGCUUUGGAUUUUUUAAAGCAUCACUUAGGGGCUGCUACCCCAGAAAAUCCAGAAAUAGAGCUGCUUCGCCUAGAACCACUCAAAAUGAAACAGAAAUAUGAAGCUAUUGCAGAAGAAAAUAAAAAACUGAAAGCAAAGCUUUCUCAGUAUGAACCACCUCAGGAGGAGAAGCAUGCUGAAUAGGAUUCUUCUCAGUUGAAAAGACCAAAAAAAUGGUUUUGUAUGACUUGAAUACUUUGUAUAGUAUAUAAUCUUUCCUGAACAGAUGCUAUAGAACUCUUUUAAUAUGUUUAAUUCACCUAUCACAUUCUAUUAUAAACGUAUAGAAUCAUCAAUAAAAACUCAAUAUAACUUUCUUUGGGUCUUAAAACAGGGGAAUCCAAAGUAAAUCCUGAAACAAUCCUAAGCACAGCUAUCUAACUCAUUACCUUAAAAGACAUUCUGUUUAUUAGUCUGAUCAGGAAUGAUGGCACUGGUUGUAUUUUAACCGAGGCAGUUUAGCAUGGAGCUAGUCCUUGGUGUAGUUCAGGAUAUGAACACAGGUACAGUCAUUCUUUGAAGGUGACACUGUUGUGUAUAUUUCCUAUAGGCAGAUGGAGAGAUCUGUGUGACAGAAGAUGCUUUUGUACGGAUUCCCAUGAAUCUUCUGCUCCUGUUUGUGUAACAUGAAACAAAUAACUCCUCUUUGCCACCAUUUUGCCUUAGAUAACUCUGUGUGUGCCAGUUUGAACUCUGAUACCAUAUUUUCCUUCUAUGCAAUCAUGCCUUGUCUGAUAAUCUUGCAUUGCUUUGCUCUGAGCUUUAGUGGGUCCUAGUUGCACAUUGGCCUUUCUGUGCUGUUUUUCAAUUUGCCUGAUAAUAGCAGUUACCCUGAUUGUAAUUUUUUUAAACUUUAAACAGGAUCACACUGUACCCCCUGCCUGCCUUAUUUGCCUAUUGAGCACAGAACAGAGGCAAUAUACCAUUCUGGGUUCACACACAAGCUGGGAUGCGAAGAGGAAUGAGCCAUAUAUUGUGGAAAAUUAUAGUUUGUAGGUAUAAUUAUAUAGUUCUUUUUUCCAUCAAAGUAUUUUUCUAGCCUUGAAUUCAUUUUAUCUUCAUUAUCCCUGUGAAGUAGGUGGGGCAAGUAUGAGGGGAAGUUGGGUGCUGUAUUUUUAGGUCAAAGAUUGAUGUUAAUACAAAUUACUCACUAAUUGGAGAACCUUGGGCAUAUCAGUGAGCUGCUCUGAGAUUUACUGUCUUCAUCUGUUUCAUGAGAAGAAUAUCCAUGAUGGCUGCCUCACAGGGUUGUUAUGAGGGUCAAAUGAGAAUGUAUGUGAAAGAUUUGUACAUGGUAAAGCACUACAUUCUUGUUUGUUA